GCCUCUGUGGUGCAGUGGUAGCACACGCCCCCGGUAUGAAUGAAGCGCGGGUUCAACUCCCGUCUGAGGUC